rnacentral:rRNA from 1 species
GACAGAGGGUGCAAACGUUGUUCGGAAUUACUGGGCGUAAAGCGCGUGUAGGCGGCCCUGCAAGUCGGAUGUGAAAUCCCACGGCUCAACCGUGGAAGUGCAUUCGAAACUGCAGGGCUAGAGUCCUGGAGAGGAAGGUGGAAUGCUUGGUGUAGAGGUGAAAUUCGUAGAGAUCCGGAGGAAUACCAGUGGUGCAGACGGCGCCCUGGGCCAUACCUGACGCUGAGAUACGAAAGCGUGGGGAGCGAACGGG